rnacentral:rRNA from 1 species
GACGAACGCUGGCGGCGUGCUUAACACAUGCAAGUCGAACGGAAAGGCCCUGCUCUUGUGGGGCGCUCGAGUGGCGAACGGGUGAGUAAAACGUGAGUAACCUGCACUUGAAUUUGGGAUAAAUUCAGGAAAAUGGGGAUAAUACAGGAUAGGAGCUCCUGCAGCAUGGUGGGGGUUGGAAAGUUUCGGCGGUUGGGGAUGGUCUCGCGGCUUAUCAGCUUGUUGGUGGGGUAGUGGAUUACCAAGGCUUUGACGGGUAGCCGGCCUGAGAGGGUGACCGGCCACAUUGGGACUGAGAGACGGCCCAGACUCCUACGGGAGGCAGCAGUGGAGAAUAUUGCACAAUGGGCGGGAGCCUGAUGCAGCAACGCCGCGUGCGGGAUGACGGCCUUCGGGUUGUAAACCGCUGUCGCCUGUGACGAAGCGUGAUUGACGGUAAUGGGUAAAGAAGCACCGGCUAACUACGUG